GNGAAGGAUCAUUAGUGAAUACAAACGCUUGGGUGUCUCUGCUUCGGCAAGCCCCUCGCACCCUUCACAUCCAUAACACCUGUGCACUGUAAGAUGACUCUAGGGCUUCGGCCUCUGGGUUGUCUGACCUUUUUACAAACUAUUAUAUGUAACAAAUGUAGUCUUAUUAUAACAAAAUAAAACUUUCAACAACGGAUCUCUUGGCUCACACAUCGAUGAAGAACGCAGCGAAACGCGAUAGGUAAUGUGAAUUGCAGAAUUCAGUGAAUCAUCGAAUCUUUGAACGCAUCUUGCGCUUGCUGGUAUUCCGGCAAGCAUGCCCUGUUUGAGUGUCAUGAAACUUAUCAACCGUGACUUGGGUUUAGGCCCCUGGCUCGGCUUGGAUUUGGGUGCUUGCGGCCUCGUGCUGCUCACCUUAAAAGGAUUAGCUGGACAUGUCGUGAGACUUGGUUCUACUUGGCGUAAUAAGUAUUUCGCUGAGGACAUCCCUCUCGUGGGGUGGCCAAGACUCUAGUGCAAACGUCUGCUUUCUAACCCGAUCGUCCUCGGACAUCACUUUUUAUGAUCUGGCCUCAAAUCAGGUAGGACUACCCGCUGAACUUAAGCAUAUCAAUAAGCGGAGGAAAAGAAACUAACAAGGAUUCCCCUAGUAACGGCGAGUGAAGCGGGAAGAGCUCAAAUUUGAAAUCUAACGGACUCAGUCUGUUCGAGUUGUAAUCUAUAGGAACGUUUUCGUGCCGGCUCAUGUACAAGUCUCUUGGAACAGAGCGUCAUAGAGGUGAGAAUUCUCGUCUUUGAACACGGACUACCAGUGCUUUNUGAUGCGCUCCUCGACGAGUCGAGUUGUUUGGGAAUGCA
rnacentral:rRNA from 1 species